CAGGCUCGGUGGCAACGCACUAUCUGCGCAAACACUCCAGCGCGAUGUGGCACAUUAGUGCCUAGGUAAAGGGCACGCCAUAUCAUGGAAAGGAGGGAUCAUCUUGAAGUUUCACCAGUGGUCUCAGAAGUCCAAAAGACACCUUCAUCUCACACCAAGACUGCUCACACAAUAGUGUAACACUUAGAUGC